rnacentral:lncRNA from 1 species
GGCUUGUAAAAAAGUGUCUUUGAAUGAAGGAAAUGCCUUCCUAUUUAUAGAGUUCCCUACCACCGCUGAGCUGCUUGUUUGCAUCGCUCAGCAACUAACCAAACCCUUCAGCAUGGGUUUGGUCACUUGGUCAAGUAGCUAUAGUGAGCUACUCCUGAAAAGCCUAUAGUGGGCUACUUGAAGUGAGGCCAUGCACGACUUCAUGGUUUCUUGAUGGCUAAAUCAAUUCUGGGUGCACAUCGUUGAGCACACAUGUGGCGCUGCUAAGCUGCAUGCUAGAGCAACUUUGACCGUGCUGACUGAGACGUGGCUUGGUGCUUGCUGACUUGGUCAGAUGUCUAGUUCACCGUUGAGCAUACAUACGGCACCGUUGAGCUGCCUGGUUGAGCAGCUUGGGCGUGGGUCAGGCUUGUGUCUAACCGUGCCAAGCUUGUGUUCUGACCCUGUUAGGCUUUGUCUGGUGCUAGGCUGAGCGGUCAAGCAUGUCCGCUAAGCUGCCUUCUUGAUCAACUUGGUAUGUGUCAGGUUGGUUUGACUGAGCCAGGUUGGGUCUGAUCGUUCCAAGCUGGUGUCCAGGUCAGCUCAGCGUAGCUUGGUUCACGCUAAGCUGCCUGCUUGAGCACCUUGAGUUUGACUUCUUUUUCUUCUUGGACCAUGAGUCUUU